AUAGUGAAGAGUCUUCAAAGAGAGAAUUUUGGGUUAAAGAUUGAUUUGUUAUUGGCUGUCUUUCUGCGCAAUUUCUCAUACAUUGGAUACCGACUCGGCCGCUCUUUUGAGUCCCGGAGUUGACUGAGCCGGAAUUUUCCGAGUCUGAACGAGUUUCCACCGGGUCUACCUUCUCCAGGAUAUGGCGGAACGGAAGCUGAAGUUCUGACGACUCAGACUCGGCCGAGUCUUUGAACGCCCUUUGGAUGAGGCAGUGUAUUUUGGGGCAGGGAGGUUGGGAGUUUUGGGUGGGUUGUUGUCCCUCUCUGCAACUACGCUGCCGAUGAUUUCAAUACAAGCAAACAGCCCCUGUUGAUGCUUGCCAGAUGUAGUACAAACUUCUCUAAUGAUUCCACAAAAACCCUAAAUCCUAAAUCCUUGUAAUCAGAAGCUUCGAUGAUAUCCGCCUCUUCCAAAUUAAGUCAAAUUCUGAGCUAGCUCGUAUCUUGGCUCGGCAAAAUCUCCCAAUGGCGGUUUUUGCAGCCACGGCGGGCUUAGCCUUUUCUCUGAUGAUUAUACAGCUCAGAAAGAAGAACGAAUGAGGCAGCAGCAGAGGAGUACGGGAUUUCUUUAAGGGUGGUUGCCCAUCUCUGGUUUGCCUAUGAUUUCGCCAUUGGUUACUAAAAAACCAACAGCCCUUCGAACAGAGCCAGGGAAAUAUAUGUAUAUAUAUAUGUACACAAACACACGUAUGCAUAUCAACAUGUGUGUGUGUGUGUGUGUUUAACAAUAACAGGGAAGAAGCCCUCGUUGCGAGUUUUCUUUUUUUUCUUUUCUUUCUUUUUGGCGACGGUGUUAUAUGAGAUGAAGGUGGUGGUGGAGGGAUUCGGCGAUUAUGGAAAAGAGGCGGUGAUGAUAUUUGUUGGGCAUUAUUUCUGAGCGAAUCAAAUCGGACAUUGGAGACGAACCGACCCGUAACUUGGCUGGGCAAACUCAGCAGUUGGUCUCGUCUCAUGCAUGAGCAGCUGCAGAUUUUGCAGCCAUGGCGCGGUCAAUGUCUCUGUCCGAUUCAUAAAAGAAAUCUGAGCCUCAU